AUGCUCAUUGCUUCAUUGGGAUUCUCACUGGAUCCAAUCACACUGUCAAGCUUGGAUGGGAGGCCUGUCUCCUCACUUCUCCUCCUGCUCUCACAGCCACAACCACAACGUGAGAUGAGAGACAGCCACCCGCAGUCCGACACCCAAAAGGUUUGGGAACAACAUUUUUUUUUAUUUCGGGGAAUUUGUUUUGGAGUCAAAGGAGCAUAAGACAGUAAUAAUCACCUGGUCCAAAAAGUCAAGUACCAAACACAAAAAAUUGAAGUGAACACUGACUGACUUUUGCAUGAAGAUGAAUGACAACAAAUAACCUCAGCAGUUAAUAAUGAAAUUUGAAGAAAAAAAAACAAACGAAAAAACAUAUCGCUGGAGGAUAACGCCAUAAAAAUGAGACAUUCAAUUAAGCUACAUAAUAACAGAAAAUAAAUAAAAUGCAAAAAAGACAAGUUGCGCUGACGAGAACAUUGACACAGUUUUUAAAGAAACAAAAAAACACCCGUUAAGUCAGUAAGGUGCUAGCCAUAGAUCUCCACAUCCAUCACAAUCCGUCUUUAUGUUCUUGUUCUGAUUUCUUUUUAAAUUUCCAAUAAGAAAAUAAAUAACAUGAUGAAAGUAACUGCAGAAUAAGGAGGAGUCCCUAACACAAGAUCGGAGGGAGGUGUUGUCCAUUUGACCCGACAGCCUCCGGCGGUCAGAUAUCCAUGCGACUGAAGAGAAACACCGUCCAGAGAGACUAGACUUCUAAUCUAACAACAUCUGCUCCCGACUAAACAAGUGCUCAUGUGCACGUCAUUUUUUUCCAUCUCCUGUUACUGUUCCUGGCAAAAGAAUUUAAAAAUAUGUCUCUCACGUUGCUACAGCUGAACAAAAAAAGUCUAAUCAGAUGGUCUGCCUGUACAAGAAGAGGGCUUUGAAAAGGAAGUGAACAGAAUCUUGAAUUCUCUGUACAAUAUUGACCUGCAAAGCACAACGGCUAUGAUGUAGUAAAAUAUGUAAACGUGUUUGCUGCUUUUGACAACAGAUAGAAUCACGCUUUGUUCACACUGGAGUAAGUCGUUUGUCUGGAUGUUUUUUUCUUUUGUAAGAUUGCAAAUUAUAUCUCCGCCAGACAAAUUAUGAUAACGCCUUUUGCCACAGCAUAUCAGGGAAAUUGCAAAGAAAAGUGGACAAAAACAAAAACAAGAGCAAACAAAGGGAAACGCUAUCAGAGAUUUAAAAAUUCAGAGACGUAACAACGUGUCGUGCAAUUUGCCUGGUGGUUCCACUGUUGCACGCUCGAACACCAUCUAGAAUUCGGAUGCCAUGCGCGGCGCUCCAAUGCUUAGCUGAGACGUGAGGGAGGGAGAGGAAAAUAUUGAGAUACAUUACUGUAGCACAUCCUGCUGAGCAGUCACUGAGCACGGCCUUACUCAACCCUGACUGGACAUCCUUCAAAAAAAAAAGGACCUAAAUUCAAUAACUAAAUAAAUCACAAAAUGAAUACAUAAAAAGCCAACCCCCCCAAAAAAAAUAAAAAUAAAAAGACAGCUUUAAGUGUACAUAUACUUUACCUCUUGUCGCAUCCAUGAAAGCUACAUUUAACGAAACCGUUUGCGAUGUGAAAUCAUGUUUUGACUUCCAACUGUUUCCCGACAAUCAUUGUUUCUUGAGGUCCCUCACGUACACAGAUGCCAGCACCACGUCACAUACACCUCACAUGCAUGCUCAGAAUGGCUGAAAUGACGGUGAUCGUAUUUUACAGGGUUACAACGGACAAGGUCAUUGGAUCUCCGAGGAUCGCACACCUCUUGACAGUCACUUGGGGUCGUGUGGAUGUUGAGAGUGAUAGUUAUUCACACUGCAACAUGUCACCAGCAGGGACUCCUCUUUAAAAAGGAUCGUGUUGAAUCCCGGUGAAGUUGUACUGCAUUGUCUCUCCAUAAUGCUUACAAUAGUAAGUGUGCUUCCAUAAGCCAAAGGUCUUUUGUCAGUGUUUCAGUCUCAGGACUCGGCGAGUCGUGAGUUCUCAGGAGAUUUGAUCCUUUUUAAAUCACAGUUGCCAAUAUGGUACUGUCAAAAUGUUUAUAACUUUGUUCCAAACAGUUUGUAUUUUUAUGU
ensembl:lncRNA